rnacentral:rRNA from 1 species
GACGAGGGGUGCUAACGUUGUUCGGAAUCACUGGGCGUAAAGCGUAUGUAGGCGGCUUUUCAAGUCAGGUGUGAAAUCCUGCGGCUCAACCGUAGAAUUGCAUUUGAUACUGUUAAGCUUGAAUAUGGGAGGGGAUGGUAGAAUUCCUGGUGUAGUGGUGAAAUACGUAGAUAUCAGGAGGAACACCGGUGGCGAAGGCGGCCAUCUGGCCCUAUAUUGACGCUGAGAUACGAAAGCGUGGGGAUCAAACAGG